CCAACAGGGAUUGCCCUAGUAACGGCGAGUGAAGCGGCAACAGCUCAAAUUUGAAAUCUGGCUUCGGCCCGAGUUGUAAUUUGCAGAGGAAGCUUUAGGCGCGGCACCUUCUGAGUCCCCUGGAACGGGGCGCCAUAGAGGGUGAGAGCCCCGUAUAGUUGGAUGCCUAGCCUGUGUAAAGCUCCUUCGACGAGUCGAGUAGUUUGGGAAUGCUGCUCAAAAUGGGAGGUAAAUUUCUUCUAAAGCUAAAUACCGGCCAGAGACCGAUAGCGCACAAGUAGAGUGAUCGAAAGAUGAAAAGCACUUUGAAAAGAGGGUUAAAUAGCACGUGAAAUUGUUGAAAGGGAAGCGCUUGUGACCAGACUUGCGCCGGGCGGAUCAUCCGGUGUUCUCACCGGUGCACUCCGCCCGGCUCAGGCCAGCAUCGGUUCUCGCGGGGGGAUAAAGGUCCUGGGAACGUAGCUCCUCCGGGAGUGUUAUAGCCCGGGGCGUAAUGCCCUCGCGGGGACCGAGGUUCGCGCAUCUGCAAGGAUGCUGGCGUAAUGGUCAUCAGCGACCCGUCUUGAAACACGGACCAAGGAGUCAAGGUUUUGCGCGAGUGUUUGGGUGUAAAACCCGCACGCGUAAUGAAAGUGAACGUAGGUGAGAGCUUCGGCGCAUCAUCGACCGAUCCUGAUGUUUUCGGAUGGAUUUGAGUAGGAGCGUUAAGCCUUGGACCCGAAAGAUGGUGAACUAUGCUUGGAUAGGGUGAAGCCAGAGGAAACUCUGGUGGAGGCUCGCAGCGGUUCUGACGUGCAAAUCGAUCGUCAAAUCUGAGCAUGGGGCGAAAGACUAAUCGA
rnacentral:rRNA from 1 species